CCUACGGGAGGCAGCAGUGAGGAAUAUUGGUCAAUGGACGUAAGUCUGAACCAGCCAAGUAGCGUGCAGGAUGACUGCCCUAUGGGUUGUAAACUUCUUUUAUACAGGGAUAAAACGAGGCACGUGUGCCUUUUUGCAUGUACUGUAUGAAUAAGGAUCGGCUAACUCCGUGCCAGCAGCCGCGGUAAUACGGAGGAUCCGAGCGUUAUCCGGAUUUAUUGGGUUUAAAGGGAGCGUAGGCGGGGUGUUAAGUCAGCUGUGAAAGGUUGCGGCUCAACCGUGAAAUUGCAACUGGUACUGGCAGGCUUGAGUACAGGUGAGGUAGGCGGAAUUCGUGGUGUAGCGGUGAAAUGCUUAGAUAUCACGAAGAACCCCGAUUGCGAAGGCAGCUUACGAAACUGUGACUGACGUUGAUGCUCGAAAGUGUGGGUAUCAAACAGGAUUAGAUACCCCAGUAGUC
rnacentral:rRNA from 1 species